rnacentral:rRNA from 1 species
UACGAAGGGGGCUAGCGUUGUUCGGAUUUACUGGGCGUAAAGCGCGUGUAGGCGGGUCGUUAAGUUGGGGGUGAAAUCCCGAGGCUCAACCUCGGAACUGCCUUCAAAACUGGCGGCCUGGAGCAAGAUAGAGGCGAGUGGAAUUCCGAGUGUAGAGGUGAAAUUCGUAGAUAUUCGGAGGAACACCAGUGGCGAAGGCGACUCGCUGGAUCUUUGCUGACGCUGAGACGCGAAAGCGUGGGGAGCAAACAG